AAUGCAUUUUAUUUACAUUAAAAUAAUAUUCUAAAAAAUUAAAUUGAAUAAAUAUAUAUAUCUUCUUUAUUAUACCACACAAAAAAAAAUUAAGUACAGUAUUGGAAAGAUCUAUAAAAAAAGUAAUAAUAUGUACCUUUAGUAUAAUGGAUUUACAAGUGUAAAUAUAAUUAUUAUUUUCGAAAUCUAAAUGAGUUGUAUUUUUAUUGUUUAGAACUAAUAUUUAAGAGUUUAAAUUCUUUAUAAAAAUAAAAUUACAGAAGCUAUAAACUAAUCGCAUUAGAUCUUAACUAAUUUAAAUAUUAUUAUAUAUAUAUAUAUAUUAAUUUAUUAAUUAAAUAAUUUAAAUUAUUUAUUUUGUUUUAUAGGAUUAGCUAUAAAUUUAAUUCAAUUUAAUAACUUAGUAUAAAAGUAAGCUUAAAAACAGCUAACUAAUACUACUUUAUAGUAUAAAUAGUAAAAAUUUUAUUAAUAAAAAAUGAAAAUAAAAUUAAUUAAUUAAUGAUAGUAAUUUUAAUAUGUAAGUAUGAGUAAUUAAUAAAAUUAGAUAAAGGAACUCGGCAAAUAUAAAAUUCGACUGUUUAACAAAAACAUUGUUAUUUGUAAGUAGAUAUAAAUAGUAAGCCCUGCUCAAUGAAACGUUAAAUUGCUGCAGUAUUAUAACUGUACUAAGGUAGCAUAAUAAUUUGUUUAUUAAUUGUAAGCUAGAAUGAAAGGGUACACGAAAUUUUAACUGUCUCUACUAUUCAAUUUAAAAUUAUCUUUUAGGUGAAGAGACCUAAAUUUAAUUAUGGGACAAGAAGACCCUAAAAGCUUUUUUAAUCAUAUAAUUUAAUUAUAAAAUUAAUUUGAUUGGGGUGAUCAGUUAUAAUUAAACAUUUUUAAUUUUUAUGAUAAAUAAUUCUAAUAAAGAUCCUUAUAUGAUCUGUAGUUAAGUUACUUUAGGGGUAACAGGCUAAUAUAAAAUUAAAGAUCAUAUUAAAUUUUAUGAUUGGCACCUCGAUGUUGACUUAGAAUAACUAUUUAGUGCAGCCAAUAAAUAAGUUGGUUUGUUCAACCAUUAAUAUUCUACAUGAGUUGAGUUCAGACCGGCGUAAGCCAGGUUAGAUUCUAUCUAUAAUUUAUUGACAAAUAUUAGUAGUACGAGAGGACCUUAAUAUUACUAUUAUAGUACUAAAAAUAUUAUUUU
rnacentral:rRNA from 1 species